rnacentral:rRNA from 1 species
UACGUAGGGUGCGAGCGUUGUCCGGAAUUAUUGGGCGUAAAGAGCUUGUAGGCGGUUUUUCGCGUCUGCCGUGAAAAUCCGGGGCUCAACCCCGGACUUGCGGUGGGUACGGGCAGACUAGAGUGUGGUAGGGGAGACUGGAAUUCCUGGUGUAGCGGUGAAAUGCGCAGAUAUCAGGAGGAGCACCGGUGGCGAAGGCGGGUCUCUGGGCCGAUACUGACGCUGAGGAGCGAAAGCGUGGGGAGCGAACAGG